rnacentral:rRNA from 1 species
CCCUUAGAGUUUGAUCCUGGCUCAGGAUGAACGCUGGCGGCGUGCUUAACACAUGCAAGUCGAACGGAGUAUUUUAUAUGAAGUUUUCGGAUGGAUUAUAAAAUACUUAGUGGCGGACGGGUGAGUAACGCGUGGGUAACCUGCCUCAUACAGGGGGAUAACAGUUGGAAACGACUGCUAAAACCGCAUAAUAUAGUGAAAUCGCAUGAUUUUGCUAUCAAAUAUUUAUAGGUAUGAGAUGGGCCCGCGUCUGAUUAGCUAGUUGGUGGGGUAAUGGCCUACCAAGGCGACGAUCAGUAGCCGGCUUGAGAGAGUGACCGGCCACAUUGGGACUGAGACACGGCCCAAACUCCUACGGGAGGCAGCAGUGGGGAAUAUUGGACAAUGGGGGAAACCCUGAUCCAGCGACGCCGCGUGAGUGAAGAAGUAUUUCGGUAUGUAAAGCUCUAUCAGCAGGGAAGAUAAUGACAGUACCUGACUAAGAAGCCCCGGCUAACUACGUGCCAGCAGCCGCGGUAAUACGUAGGGGGCAAGCGUUAUCCGGAUUUACUGGGUGUAAAGGGAGCGUAGGUGGUUCGGCAAGUCAGAUGUGAAAGCCCAGGGCUCAACCCUGGGACUGCAUUUGAAACUGUCGUGCUAGAGUGCAGAGAGGUAAGUGGAAUU